rnacentral:rRNA from 1 species
CUCCCUACGGGAGUCCGCAGUAUUUCCUUUUCGUCCCUUUUUUUAACCCUGACCGAGCAACGCCGCGUGAAGGAAGAAGGAAUUCGUUCUGUAAACUUCUGUUAUAAAGGAAGAAAGACGGAUGGAGGAAAUGACAUCCGAGUGACGGUACUUUAUGAGAAAGCCACGGCUAACUACGUGCCAGCAGCCGCGGUAAUACGUAGGUGGCAAGCGUUAUCCGGAAUUAUUGGGCGUAAAGAGGGAGCAGGCGGCAGCAAAGGUCUGUGGUGAAAGACUGAAGCUUAACUUCAGUAAGCCAUAGAAAC